CCCUCCUGUGCUGUUUUCUGGGUCCUGUCAGCCUCUCUCCGGCCCACAGAGAUGAAGAAUGCUAUUCCCAGUUGGGAACGCCUGGUCGAGUUGAUGAUCUGAUAUCAACAGGAAAGAUCAGCGUUUCUCAAGUUCGAUUCCUUGUGCUGGAUGAAGCUGAUGGGCUCUUAUCUGCAGGAUAUUUAGAGAGUCUAUAACCACAUCGCUCAGAUCACUUCUGAUAGAAAGAGGCUCCAGGUGAUUGUGUGCUCAGCAACCCUGCAUUCCUUUGAUGUGAAGAAGCUGUAUGAAAAAAGUCAUGCAUUUUCCCACCUGGGUGGGUUAUACAACAUGUGGAUGUUUUGGCACCUACAGUACAAGAGUUGGCUGCCCUUGAAAAUGAGUCUCAAACAUCUUUCCUGCAUCUUGGCUACCUGCCCGACCAACUGUUCAGGACCUUCCCACAGCCAUCUUAAAGAGAAGACAUCACAACAAGUGACUAACAGAAUACAAUUGGAAGUUCAAACCCAUGAGGCUUUAUUUCACAUUAUAGAAGUUUAACUGAAAAAUAAGCAUAGGAAGUGUUAUGUUUAAAAGCUUAUAUUUAUAUAAAAUAAUUUAAGUUUAUUUUUUUGGUUGUCUAUACAACCCAAGCCUGGCAAUACAUUUGAAGAAAAAUGUUAUUGUGAAAUAAAAAGGCAUGACUUUAGAUCUGGGAGUAAGGCCCAUCAACAUAUAAGGUUUUAACAGCCACAUACUACAAAAAAUCUGCAAUUCACAUUGUCCAGUCCAGAUCAAACAAAUUUUAAUGUAUUAAUACUGCAAGAAGUGGCAGGAGCAUGCUAUCUUUAAGGGUUGGACAAUAAUGACUUCUUCAGUUGUUGAUUAUCAGCUGUAAAUUAUCACAAUUAUCGGCUAAAUAAAUAAACUAUGUAAUAUGUCUUAGAAUUGAGCAACAUGAACACUACUUCUACAAGUCACAGAGUUUAGAAGAAAUAAAACUAGACAGUUUUCAAAGACAAGCAAUUUUAAUAAAAGUUAUGAAACAAUGGUUGGUUACAUGAAAUCAAAAAUAAUACAAUCAAAUCUGUUUGUUUGGUAGCUUUUCAAAUCUCCACAUAUAGGCUAUUUAUUAAAAAAGUAUUUCAAAAAAUGAUUUCCAGAUGAUACAAUUUCUAAAUUGGGAUUAUCAAUUCACAUCUACUGAACAAGCCUUAAAUUUCAGCCGGAACAAUACUUGCGAGCUAAAAGUGUUUCUAUUUAUGAUAAUCGUCUAAUUGAGAAACACGACUAGAUGAUAAAAACAAGUUUAGACUGAGUUGCAAUGUAAUUAAAAAAAAUUGCUGCGGUAUUUGUUGUACUCAUGUCUGUAGUUUAAAAUAAAGAAACAGAAAAAAGGAAGUUUAGGCUAAUAUUAAACAUUUGCCAUAAGGUUGUUUUUGUUUUUUAAUUGAGAAUAUCAAUUACAUUUAAUGUACGUUAAACUGUCAAAAUGAUAAAUAGGCAAAAGGUCCACUUUUCUACAGUAAUUUAGAGAGCGCUAUAUAUUUUUUAUUAUUUUAGAAGUACCAAUAAUUGUGUUUUUAUGUU